GAAGGCUGGAGAUUGCAGUCACGUACCAGCAAUCUUGAAAGAUAUUUCUGAGAUAAGCGGUUCAAAUAAUGGUUGACGGAUGGAUAAUUAAAUAAAGAGGUCAUCUGUGCUCCCUCUGAUGGCGAUGGAGAUCUGGUGUGGACGAAGAGGCCGCAAUGGCUCCCCGGAGCUUUGUCAGAGGCCGCCCAUAUUGGAGCCAUUUCCUGUCUCAGGAGUGGGCAAAAGGCUUGACCCCUGGUGCACCCUUUCUAUGACUUGGCAGGAAGUCUUGAACAAUGGGACCCCUCCGCAGGGACUGCGUGCCGCCGCUGAGGAUCGUAACAUAUAUAUGGAGCGGGCGCAGUAGAAUCGACACCAAUGUUGUUUUCCGAGGGCGAGGGGGGAAAAACAUCACUUGACGUGCGUGAAAAGUACGUCUCGGGGUAGAAGUGUGGAGAAUGGUGAGCAAAUGCGUGAGAUAUCUGCGGGACAGGAAGGAUUUACCAUGUUGGAAUGCAGAAAAAAAAAGGUGAAUAAACUGAUGUCAUGAAUGG